UGAAACAGAGUGCAACAGUGAAGAACAAGAGGCUUUUUUGUUGAUGAGUCGGCCUAAAUAUAUUUUAGAUGAUUGCCAAAAAGUUGUUAUUGAAGGAUUGGAGUCAAGCUUAGGAUCAGUUUAUCCUAUGGGUCUGUACUACAAGGUUGAGUGCGUCAACCGACAACGCAGAAAUCAGGUUUAUAGACGAGUGCUUUAUGCCGGGGUGGACGAGCUUCCGUUAGGCCAUUGAUUUCCCAAUGAAGGAGCUUUGAGGCAAGCACUGCAAUGAUGUAUAUUUGUAUAUGGCAUAAUCUGUAGGAACCCUCUCCUUGUUUCCUUUUGUUCUUGGUUUUGCUCCAGUUGAUUACUGCCCUAUGAGAUCUGCACAGACAAAAUUCAUAUUGAUUUGUUUAGUUGUGGCAUGUAUCGCAGCUACACCAGUCUGAUAAUUUAGUCCUCAAAUAAGGUAGUUUCCGUCUCCCCUUUACAUGUGACGGACAUACGUGCUUGUUGCUUGCCGUUGCUGAAGCGAGGCCUCUUAAGUGUACUUUUGUGUUCUCCCUGAUUAUGUUAAUCAGGCCGUAUGUGUUCUGUUGGUCUAUUUUCAUUUGUCUACCUCUACAGAAUUUCAAAGAUGUAAUUUUCUAUCAUGUAGUUGCCUCUUUCUUCAUAUACUAACCCUCUCCUAAAUGAUAGAUGAGGCAGGUGACUUAUCUCAUGUAUUUUCUUUUCUGUAAAUUACAACAAGUCUAUUUUAGUCAACUUAAGGGUAUGUUGAAUAUGACUGUUAAUGAAGAUAGUCAUUCUUGUUA